AGAGUUUGAUCAUGGCUCAGGACGAACGCUGACGGUGUGCUUUAGACAUGCAAGUCGAACGAGAAAGCCCUUCGGGGUGAGUAAAGUGGCGAACGGGUGAGUAACACGUGGGUAACCUGCCCCUCGCAGAGGGAUAACCGGGGGAAACCCCAGCUAAUACCUCGUACGCUUGCCGGGUCGCAUGGCUCGGCAAGGAAAGGUAGCUUCGGCCAUCCGGCGAGGGAUGGGCCCGCGGUCCAUUAGCUAGUUGGUGGGGUAACGGCCCACCAAGGCGACGAUGGAUAGCUGGUCUGAGAGGAUGAUCAGCCACACUGGGACUGAGACACGGCCCAGACUCCUACGGGAGGCAGCAGUCGGGAAUCUUGCGCAAUGGGCGAAAGCCUGACGCAGCAACACCGUGUGGGCGACGAAGGCCUUCGGGUCGUAAAGCCCUGUUGUUGGGGACGAAGGACGAUGGGUUAAUAGCCCCUAGUCUGACGGUACCCUUCGAGGAAGCCCCGGCUAACUACGUGCCAGCCGCGGCGGUAAUUC
rnacentral:rRNA from 1 species